GGCUGUGGGAUCUUUAGACCAUUUAACUAAACUGCUCAUGAUUCCUAUUGCUUUAUGCCAGCUUCCUGAACAAUGUAGCAAAAGGUUUUCAGUUCCUGGCUAUUCUUGUUCAUUUUCCAUACUCUAAUUCAAGGCGGCUGGGUGUGCUGAUGGCACCAGAACAAAAAAAGGACAGAUGUUUUUGCAGGGAAAGAAAAGCAUGAUACAAAUUAGGAAGAAGACAAAACCGACGAGGCGAAGUGGUCUGUGCAGCAGGCUGCGUAGAUGUGCUGUUGGGUAUUUCCCAGAAGUCCUGGAUUUUCCCUGAGUUUCUGUGGAUUGGGCAAAAGCUGGUCUGGGCUCCUGCAGCCAUGGCAAAUAGAGCCUCAUGGUGCAGUGCUGUAUGGUGUGCGCUGAAAACAAAGUGUGUUAUUAGAAGACUGAUUUGAAAUGUGCACUAUUAGUUUUGUGGAAGCAAAGUGGAAGCGCUGCAGGCACGGUGCCUGUGGUGUUAAAAUCAAAUCAGCAAGUACAAUUUAGGCUUAUACCUUUUGAAAUGUGGUCUGCUUUCUUUCUUUUUAAAAAAAACAACAAAAAAACCAUGUCUAGGCAUAGAUGGUCAAUAUGAAUCAAUUGCUACGAGGGAAAGAUUAUGAAUCCUGAGAGAGAAUAUUUGAGUAACUAGGUAUGUAGAGUUUUACAGAAAGAUAUUUUAUUUCUUCAAAUUUACAUUGGCCUAUGGAUAUAUGAUUUUCAUUGAAUUCAAACAAAUGGAAAAUCGAGCCAUAAUCAGUGCUUAAAGAGGUGCUGUCAACUUGAAUAUUUGUGAAGCUGUCUUGGAGAUAAUUGCUAGUCAUUGAUGAAACUGGCUCAUCUAUAUACAGCCCGAUUGGCACGUCUUGAGUUUUAGAACAACAUAGUUAAAAUAUUUUGUGAAUCUUAAAGCUUGUCAAUUCUUACAUGCAAACAUCACUUAGCAAGGAGAAGCUGCCUGUCUGAGGUCCUGAUCCAAAGCCAAUUAUAGUAAAUGGGAAUUUUUUCAGCUCUUGCUUUAACGGAUUAGAACUGCCUCAUUACACAGGUAUGGAAACUAUUGAUCUAAUACAGUCCAAUUCACAAUAAAAACAAAUAAAAAGGAGAACUUUUUCUCAGUGCUUUGUUACCAUUAUACUCUGUAAUUCUUUACAGUAAGUACAAAGUUCUUCAGACAAAAAUGUAUUUUUUUUGUAAUGACAGUGCUUCUUUAUAAUGAAAUGUCUAUAAGUUGUAUUUGUUUGUGUUCCUACAGCUGGAACUUUUUGCUUCCAAUGUACUGUCCUUUAUAAUGAAGAUGGUUUAACAAUGAUGUAUUUAGCUUUGUGUAAGAGUACACUUAGUAUUAUUAGUUUUAUUAACUAUAUCUGUUUUUUUUUCAUUGAGGGGCAAUAUAGAAAAUAUGGUUGCCUAAAACUUCUGAUGUCCUAUUUUGAUCAGCUAAGAAUUGAUGAUUCUCCCUGCCUAUUUCUGCUAUGUUGGAAGACCUAAACCUGGAGACUUACACGCUGUGUUCUAAACUUCAGAAAUACAAAGUCGCUCUCACACUUCAGUUAAUAGAGACUCUGCACAAUGAAUGCCCGGAAGCGGCAGAAGUCUGAGCAACUACACUGCUUGUUUAUCAUCUGCACAAUCUUUUCCUUAUGCUGUGGACCUUCUGAAACAGUGCACAACAUAAAGCACAGAUAUUCCAUCAACCAAAGAGAUCAAUUCCUCCAUAAACACUUUAACAAUUGAAAUGUAAAUGGACUGCUAUCACACACAUCUGCCCUAAAUGAUGCCCUGAAGUAUUAAAAUAAGGACAAUCGCUACUUAGUACUUGAAAUAUCUUGGUUUCUUUUUCUGGAUCCACGUCGUCAGGAGCAAUUCAUUGAAUUGAGGAUGAUCUCUACUAUGGCUCAUUGAUGGGUCUUGAGGUGACUUAAGAGUCCAAUCUUUGAACCAUGGACCUGUUUGCAAAAGUUCUGCCACGGAGAGUAGGCUGUAGGUUGGAAUUUGUCUUCCUUCCUUCCUCUGUCCUCUCUUUUCUGCUUCAAGGGCACAACACUUUACCCCAUGCAGGCUGCUGCUUGGUUGAGGUUGUAGCACCAUUAGAGUUCAUUAUCAGCCAGCUCCUCCCAGCUUUUGAGAGAUGCCUUCACUGUGUCCUUUUAGUGUUUCCUCUGGCCACUGUGAGGUCUCAGGCUGCAACUAAGGUGGGAGUUGAGUGCUUGUUUUGGGAGUUGAGAGUUGGGCAUCUACACAAGGUGUCCAGUCCAGUGAAGAUGGGCACAAACCUAGAUCCAAGUGUAGGAUUGUUGAAGUGCUUCCCAAGCUGUUUUGUUGCAAAACAAAUCCAGGAGAUACUUGGACCUUGAAAAGAAGAUAAGAUGAUUGUGCCUUUUGUCACGUGGCGAGAGGUUUUCCAAGCAAAGAAGAGUUCUGGGAGAAGAUUUUAGGACUCCAUAAAGAACUGAAGAGCAUCUUGGGAUACUUCAUGACAAUUCACUUUUUUUGAAAAACAACCUACAAUAAAUUUGUCAGAAGCUGCUCUCGUUCAUCAGUGGAAGAAACAACUUGACAUAUUGCACGCUUAGUGUAUAAUGAUGAGAAAUUAGAAAUAGCUUUAUGCAGGAAAAUUCCCUUCUUUAGUAUACUUCCACUUUGAAAAACUCGAAGCAAACUAGGCAAUACAGAAUUACCUGGGUGAGGUGCUAGCUGGUCAAGCAAUGAUAAUAUACCACAAUUCAAGUUCUGUCCCACUUCCUUUAAAUGUAUGGCUUUCUGUGGCUACAGCAGAAUAUGCCAGUGUUUUGUAAUCUGGUCAUCUUGUCUCCAACAGGAGUUGAUGUUAGCUGUUUUAGAUGCAGGUGGAAAAUGCAAAUAAUAUAUAUACUCGUGCAGUGCUACACGCCUGAUGAAAAUAGGAUCAAGAAUUUGGCAGUCAGCUCUGCCCUCUAAAUUCAAGGGCUCAGCAUGAAGGCAAGUGGGUGGAUCAGAUAUAAGUAAAAUUGACCAACUUUUUCAUGAUUUCAGAAUUUUGUAACUGUUGUGAUGCCCUGCAUUUUCAUGAACAUCCCUGCCACCUUCAAAAUCCUAAUAUAGAUUUUCCUGAGAGUGUUACAUGUUUCUUGCCUUGCAUUUGCAGUCUCUGUUAAAAUCCUUGCAUAUCUCUCAUGGCUCCGCAGGACAAGACCACUCUUUUUCUAUGGGUCUUGCUUUUGUAAACGUAUUGCUCUCUGGUCUUUCGUGACGUACACAGCUUCCCACAGCAGUCAUGUUGGGGAACCUGUUCUAUAUUAUUAUACUCAUUCAGAAGUGUUAAGAAAACUGUCUGCACAACCCACCCAACACACAAAGAGAAAGCAAGGGUGAUGACAAAAGGGGUUCUUGUAAUGCCACUGUCAAAGGAUGAUUGUUAGUGUUAACAUAUGCCUGAUCUAAUGUUCUUCAUCUAAGAACACAGAGGAGCUUUUAUAGUUUGUCACUAUAUUUAGUCAUACUAAACUUAUUUUUGUUCCCUUUGAAAUAAUUGGUUAUGUGACCCAUACAAUUUUUUUCCAUGCUGUUUUUUUCUCAUAACUAAGGGAAGUUCAGAUGCAUAAAGGUAGUCCUCGUCAGGUCGUUGUCUGGAAGAAACCGUAUUGUGGAGAACUGCCGCUAUUAUUUGUGCCUAAUUGUUUAGAUAAAAAUUUGACCCAGAGUUGUUUCUACUGAGAUGCAGCACAGAGAUACUCCUUUCCUGGGGCUGCUAAGGGAGGUAAAGUCACCUUUUGGUUUCUUGGACAUACUCCCCUCUUCCCUCAGUCAACUAACUUACAACAGUGACCUGUGGGCUGGGUGGAGUGAACUGGAGUUCCUGCAUCAAUGAGGAGCAUGGAAACCCCUGCCAUGGUGCCCCUGCCCUGGCACACUACCAGGGGCUUAUUUCCCAGAAAAUUGUGAGCCCUCUUAUGACCCCUGUAUGCUGUGGGAGUGGCAUGUGAGAAACAAGGCAGUGAUCCAUUACCUUCAUUUAAAUACCAGUUUAAAAAGCUAUAUGUGUUUCCCAUGUUUAAAGUGCUGUUUGGUACUUUUGGGGGAGAGAAGAAAAAUUCCCCUGAGCAGAUCAAGAUAUCUGUAGCUCUGUUUCACACUGGUGCUAGUCCAGCCAAGCUUAUUUUCAUCCAUAGCUUUAAUGGUGACCCCAUCACCUGCCAAUAUAACAAACACUGAAUUAAAAGGAAGCAGCGGCACAUGUUGUACAGGACCGCUAUGUGAAUAACAAGCUUCCCCUAUGUGUUUCUGUUAGACCUGUGAACUAGCCAUUAAGGCACUUGCAUCAUGUUUCGAGCUCUGCACUUUCUGUGAUAUUAAUGAAGCCACUUGAAACACAGAGGUUAAAAUGAUUUCAGUUUUGAAAAUGAGCUGCAGGGCACAACUUACUGGAACCAUGUAGCCCUGGUCCCAGUCUGAGUUUGAGCAUGUGGUGUGCAACUCUGUUAUGCCACUGUAAGAGCAAUGGAUAAGGCAUGGCAUUGGGAGCCAGGAGACAUUGGCUCCAUUUGUAGAUCUAGUGCUAGCCUGCUGCGUAACUUAUACUAGAAUGCCCUGCAGCUCCAUUUUCCUAUCUAUAAAAUGGGAACAAUACGUUGCUUUGUGCAAUGAUUUGAGAAUCUACAAGAAAACUGUGUAUCAGCUAAAUGUUACAUGAAAAAGGUAUAUCUGCAGGCAAAUAACAGAAUAUGCCUUUUUGAGUCAUUUUGCUGGAAUAGCUUGUGCUCCUGAAUAUUUAUAGAUGACUGACUUUUGUUGUUGUUGUUUGUUUUUUAAAAACAAAUCUUUUACCUAACUAAGAGACCUGAAUGAAAGAAGCAGUGUUCAGGGAGGCUUAUUAAUUUGUGACCCUGCCUGCAGAAAAGUGGAUCAAUAAACUAAUAAGACAUAAAACCAUA